rnacentral:rRNA from 1 species
GACGAACGCUGGCGGCGUGCUUAACACAUGCAAGUCGAGCGGUAAGGCCCUUUCGGGGGUACGACGAGCGGCGAACGGGUGAGUAACACGUGGGUGACCUGCCCUCAGCUCUGGGAUAAGCCUGGGAAACGUGGGUCUAAUACCGGAUAUGACUCCAUGACGCAUGUUGUGGGGUGGAAAGCCUUGUGCGGCUGAGGAUGGGCCCGCGGCCUAUCAGCUUGUUGGUGGGGUGAGGCCUACCAAGGCGACGACGGGUAGCCGGCCUGAGAGGGCGACCGGCCACACUGGGACUGAGACACGGCCCAGACUCCUACGGGAGGCAGCAGUGGGGAAUCUUGCGCAAUGGGCGAAAGCCUGACGCAGCGACGCCGCGUGAGGGAUGACGG